rnacentral:lncRNA from 1 species
GCCAUGACAGUGUGGCUGCGUGCACCACCUGCGUCGGGUCGUGGCUGCACUAGCGGCGGCGGCCCGUCGGAGGGGCAAUGAGGAGGAGGGUACUCGCGAGGAGCUCAUCCGCGUCAAAGCGUUGGAGCACCAACUCGUCGGAGCACCGCGUGGGCACCUGUGCGUGGUGGCUCUCUGGCUCCUAGAGGUAUGCGAGGGCUGAAGCAGCAGGUCCCAAGGCACACAGCGCCUCGGCGGUUGUGCAUGCUUCUGCCAUGGCCGACAAGUUUGGCUUGCAGCAGCGCUGCUUCUACCAUCGUCGGCAAGGAUGGUAGUGGCUAGAACGGGGUAGGGAGGAGCGAGUCCGGUGGCGAGGCGACGGAUCCCGUCGGGCUCAGGCGCAAUCGACAAAUAGUCGACGUGCUUCAACUCCAAAAUGUCGUUGUUGGUGACACACAAGGCCUCUCACUUGACUUUCAAACCCAAGCCGGACAUGGCCGAAUUGGAAAGGGUUUGAAUAGAUUGGAGAUGGAGCUUGGAGACUUGGAGCUCAAAGGAUUAGGGAAGGCCAUGCGAUGUGAGAUCUCAGAAGCGUAUGAAGGCUAUGGUAACAGUUUCCCUUUUAUAAGCCACUCAAAUACCAAGAUCCCCUCUGUUGCGUCACAAAUCUUGCCACUUCUCGUUAAGUCAUGUAGUUAUGCGCGUGUGGGAUAACCCAAAUCGUAAACCAUAUUUCCUAAAAAGUGGGCCACGAUCUCCAUAUUGAUAGAACGUGGCAAUGAAAGGACUUCCUUGAACCGUGGAUCAAUUUUUUGUAAUUGGUUGAUGACCCACGAGUAUAGGGUAUCAAUUGUAGUCCUUUUAAUAAGUAAGAGUGUCGAACCCAACAAGGAGCGAAAGAAAAAUUGUAAGUAGUUUUCAGCAAGGAAUUAUGUGUAGGUGUUGUAAAUAAAAGUGAUAGAUAGUUUUGUAGCAAGAUAAGUCGUAACAAGUGACAAGUAACAACAAUAGCAAAGGUGCAACAAGGUAUCCCAAUCCUUUUUAUAGCAGAGGACAUGCCUAAAAGUUCUCUUAUAUGAAGCAGGCGCUCUCGAGG